rnacentral:rRNA from 1 species
CGUGCCUAAUACAUGCAAGUCAACGCAUUGUGGUUGAAAUGAUAUGAAGAACUUGUUCAGAUUUGAUUUCAACAUUGCAAUGAGUGGGCGAACGGGUGAGUAACACGUGGGAAACCUACCUCUUAGCAGGGGAUAACAUUUGGAAACAAAUGCUGAUACCGUAUAAUAAUUAAAACCGCAUGGUUUUAGUUUAAAAGAUGGUCUUGCUAUCACUAAGAGAUGGUCCCGCGGUGUAUUAGUUAGUUGGUGAGGGUAAUGGGCUCACCAAGACAAUGAUACAUAGCCGAGUUGAGAGACUGACCGGCCACAAUGGGACUGAGACACGGCCCAUACUCCUACGGGAGGCAGCAGUAGGGAAUCUUCCACAAUGGACGAAAGUCUGAUGGAGCAACGCCGCGUGUGUGAUGAAGGGUUUCGGCUCGUAAAACACUGUUGUAAGAGAAGAAUGACAUUGAGAGUAACUGUUCAAUGUGUGACGGUAUCUUACCAGAAAGGAACGGCUAAAUACGUGC